UAAAUCUUGUCGUGAAAACAAUAAGACCUGGUCCUUAUUGCUGUAAGUUGAGUGCUACAAAUAAGGCCACCCAAUUUUUUCCUUAAUAAAAAUGAAAGAAUUUAAGAUAUAAAAAAACCCUGGACUAAAUCUCUCUCCCAAAUUACCAUUCUAUUUCUGAAAACCCUUGCUCUAACCUCGCCACUAUUCCAUAAUCAUCUAUAGGUCCGAUCCCCACUAAGAAACCCUAACCUUUAUUCUUUACACGCUGAAUAAUGAAGAUGACUUUCGCUUUGCCUCUCUCCACAUUCGCAGCUUAUAACCAUUCCACAUUCGAUGUAGCGUGUAAUUGGGUUUCAAAGCCUAACACUAUGGCACUGGUGCAUAAGUGCGUCGUCUUCCGCUAAUUAACAGAACCGGAGACGUAGUUGAAUACAUUGAAUUUAGAUGUCCUGGCUAUGCAUCAUCUCUAAAGGUAACAGUAAUCCCAGUCUAUAUUAAUUGAGUAUUAGUCACACUUAACGUUGAAAAUUUUGAGAUACUCUUACAUGUUUUUACAUAUCAGGGAGGCCAUAUUGGACAGUUUGAAGCAAAUUCUAUAGGAUUUGAGAAGGAGAGGAAAAAUGUGAUUGAUCUAUAGAAAAGUUUAAGAGUAAACUAAAAGGUUGGUGCGGUGCUCUUCUUUCCCUUUUUUGACGCUUUAAUUUAUAAGUUACCACUUACCACCUAUUUAGCAUUCUUCUAGAUGUUGUUUUGCUCCUUUAUUUGCUAGAUCUGAGCCCUUCAGAGAUAAAUUAAAUUUGAGAAGAUUGUUAAGAGAAUCCAUGAAGUUGUUGAUGGCCUAGAAAAGAGAUUUGGAUAGAACACUUCUCACAUUUAUUAUGGAGUGACAAAUAACUUGAAAGAAUUUCAGUAGCACUUCUUUAAAGCAAUUUUGCAUUAAGUUGGGCAUGUAUAUAUUAACAAAUAAUUUGGCAUAGUCAGGCUUAAUUUUUUUGGCAUAUUAGAUCGGCUUUGCACUUAACGAUGGAGGCUAGAGUGCUUGAUCAAGGACGGGUGGCUCGCACAGAUGAUCAUUGUAAAGACAUUUGUGUGGUCAAAUUUCUCAAUCCAUGUAAAUGUUUUUGGAGGCUGAAUUUACAGGUCAAGUUGAAGGUUUUGAAGACAUACAUGUUGGCGAUCAUUUUGCUAUAAAUAUUAUACAGAACUUUAUAUCAUAGUUUAGGGAUAGAUUUUUGCUUAGGGGUUGAGUAAAAGUUGUGACUCACAUCAUAGAUGUUAAUCAUUUUUUCUAAUUAAUGACUAUUAUAUAUAUAUAUAUAUAUAUAUAUAUAUAUAUAUAUAAGUAGCAUUUACCUUUGUAUUGUCCUUUUGUAUUCAAAUUUUCUUCUUGCAAGUAUAAUAUGACCUGCACAUAUAU